UACGUAGGUGGCAAGCGUUGUCCGGAAUUAUUGGGCGUAAAGAGCUCGUAGGCGGUUUGUCACGUCUGCUGUGAAAACCCGAGGCUCAACCUCGGGCCUGCAGUGGGUACGGGCAGACUAGAGUGUGGUAGGGGAGACUGGAAUUCCUGGUGUAGCGGUGGAAUGCGCAGAUAUCAGGAGGAACACCAAUGGCGAAGGCAGGUCUCUGGGCCACUACUGACGCUGAGGAGCGAAAGCAUGGGGAGCAAACAGG
rnacentral:misc_RNA from 1 species